GUCGUUGUUGACUGUGAAACGGCAUGAUUGUCGUUGUUUAAAUCUUAUUACUUUAUUGCGUUCAGCUCGUGUAUCUUCUAACUCUAAAUUCUAACUUCAUCAGUAUUUUGUUGCUGGAUUUGUUCUUCGGUUCUUUCGGAUCUUCCAUUUACCAAGCUUCGAGAUUUACUUUUAUUCCGGCUCAAAUCAGUCCCUUUUCCUUUUCUUGGCAUUGUUUGCUGUAGAAAACACCCAUCCAGUGCAGUGCGCUUGUGUGUGUAGCUAAACACGAAGAUGCCUACGCCAAAUACGGUUUAUAGCUUUACACUGGGCGAAGGGAUAUAUGACAAAAAUGUUAUGUGUCAUGCGUCCUAUACCCUCUAGAAUUAAAGAAAAAUUUUAAGGGUGGACAACCCUAAUCGGAUAUGUC
rnacentral:lncRNA from 1 species